UGCCUAGUAGUUAAAAUUAUAAUUACAGAUUGCAAGUCUGAGGUAGCCUUCGGGUCUAGGUUU
rnacentral:tRNA from 1 species